ensembl:lncRNA
UUCUUUAUAACUAGACUGCUGAAGGAGGACGGGUGAGGAAGAAGUGGGGAAGACCACGUUCAGUACCCUUCAAAAGAAAAUUUGGUUGUACCUAGAGGUUAGGAUCUGGUUUCAUUCCCAUCAUAGAGGCUGCGUAAGUGGCUUUGAGGCAUGUGUAAUAUUAGUGUCCUACAAGUCAUAAAAAGUAGUUUUAAAACCCUAUUGCAUAAAGGCAUCUAUACAUUGAAAGACAGGACAGGUGAAGGGGCAGGAGGAGGGCAGUUCUCGGGGGUGAUGGCAGCUGCUGGAGAGUGCUUUUGGUGUCACUGUCCGGGCUCCCUGCCAGGCCACCUUCACCUUGCGGCAAUGCUGACCUGGGUGUAGCUACAGCGCAGGGGCCCUAGACCCUGGCCUCGGCACCUCCCCCGGGAGCCAGCUUCUGUUCCCUUUCCUCUCCUCCCACACCCUCCCCACUCCUAACUUUAUUUAGUACUGGGAGCCUUCCAGCGCAAGUAGGUAGCCGCCCUGGCAGUUCGGGUUACAGGCCUGUGCUGGCACGUCAUCUCUGCUGGCCACCUUCCUGGCAGGCUGCAGACCUGACAUUUCGAGACAAACCCAGAGUCAGGAGCGGGGACUUUGACUCUUAGGAGGAACAGACAGGAGGGCAAGGCUGCUGGCAGACUUUUCCAUUGUCCUUAUGUUGUCUGUGAGGUUUUUUUUUUAAUCGUCCGUGGUGAUUAUUUUUUUUAAAUCAUUGUUAACGUAUUGGAAUGGGCUGUAGCACAUAUCUUGUGCUUCAGUUUGUUUUUCUCCAUCUCCCUCUGGCUUCCUGGAGUUUGGACAUAUUCCAGGGCUAAAUGCUUUUACUCAAACCGCAGAAAAAAGUUUUCUUGAAGUACUGUGUGCAUGUCAUGCACUUGGGGAGAAGGCAGAGAUCUGAUUUCAUUUGCAGCCCCAAGCUGCCAUUGCUGAGGCUCUGAGGACCUCUGCGGGGCCAGAGCUCCCAUCAGGCCACGCUCUGCAGUCUGUAAGAGGAGGGAGGGACAGGACUUGGCAUGCUGCUCCUACGACUGUUUAUCAAGGGGCUUACCAGUGGCUAGAGGGCGCAUGUUUGGUUCUGAACCCUGUAUCUCACUGUGACUUCAGAAACACGGCUAUCACAAAGAAAAACUCAUGUAUUGUGUAAACUGGAUUGAGAAAUUCUCUCAAGUGAUCCUGUAAAUUUUUUUUUUUUUUAAUGCUGAAGUAAUGUACACUCGAGCAUUCUGGUGUUUUUAUAUUUAUGUAAUAAUUUCUUAAAACCAAGACAGAUAACUAUUUAAUUUUGGAAGAAAGUUGGAAACGGCUCUCCUCCCGAGAACAGUGGCUUGGGAAGAGACGGGCCACAGUGCCUCUGGGCUUGGCCCCCAGAGCCACCAACCCAGGCUGGCUCCCUGUGUGGCAGCAUGUGAACACAGGCAGCUAGCUCAGGCAAACACAGGCCCGUCCACAGGGGCCUCUGAACCCAGCCCCUCUCCCUUCCCAGGGGCGAGAACUCUACAGAGGGCUGGAGCCACCUGCCCCCAAGAAGCCUUCAUUCACCUUCAGUGCUGCUGUUGCAACUAGGCUGUCCUGGGCGGGACUCCUGCUUGGGUGGGGAAGAGAAUGGAGGAUGCUGAUUACCUUCCCUUCUCAGCCAGCCUGACCUUUUAAUACCUUUGUAAAAAGCAUGUAUGUAUUUAUAGUGUUUUAGAUUUUUCUAACUUUUGUAUCUUAAGAGCUGAGCACCUGUUUAAGCAUUGUACCCCUAUUGUUAAAUGUGUCCUCUCUCCCCUCUCUUCCUCCUGUAAGUGCCCUUCUAAUAAAACUUUUCAUUGAAAAG